UACGGGGGGGGCAAGCGUUGUUCGGAAUUACUGGGCGUAAAGGGUUUGUAGGUGGCCAACUAAGUCAGACGUGAAAUCCCUCAGCUUAACUGGGGAACUGCGUCUGAUACUGGUUGGCUUGAGUGCAGGAGAGGAAUGCGGAAUUCCAGGUGUAGCGGUGAAAUGCGUAGAGAUAUGGAGGAACACCAGUGGCGAAGGCGACUUUCUGGUCUGUAACUGACACUGAGGCGCGAAAGCGUGGGGAGCAAACAGG
rnacentral:rRNA from 1 species